GAUGAAGAACGUAGCGAAAUGCGAUAAGUAAUGCGAAUUGCAGAAUUUCCGUGAGUCAUCGAAUCUUUGAACGCACAUUGCGCCCACUGGUAUUCCGGUGGGCAUGCCUGUUCGAGCGUCAUUAUCCUCCCUCAAACCCCGGGUUUGGUGUUGGACCCAAGUUGUGUGAACAACCGGUCUUAAAGACAAUGACGGCGUCCGUGGGACCCUCGGUGCAACGAGCUUUUAGGAGCACGCAUCGAGUUGCAAGGACCUUCCGGGCCGGUCUCCUUUACUAUUUUACAAGGUUGACCUCGGAUCAGGUAGGAAUACCCGCUGAACUUAAGCAUAUCAAUAAGCGGAGGA
rnacentral:misc_RNA from 1 species